GACGUAGGGGACGAGCGUUGUCCGGAUUCAUUGGGCGUAAAGCGCGCGUAGGCGGUUACGCAAGUCGGUUGUGAAAAUCCGGGGCUCAACCCCGGACCUGCAUCCGAUACUGCGUGACUAGAGGUAGGUAGGGGAGAUCGGAAUUCCUGGUGUAGCGGUGAAAUGCGCAGAUAUCAGGAGGAACACCGGUGGCGAAGGCGGAUCUCUGGGCCUGUUCUGACGCUGAGGCGCGAAAGCUAGGGGAGCGAACAGG
rnacentral:rRNA from 1 species